AGCGUACACGGUGGAUGCCCUGGCAGUCAGAGGCGAUGAAGGACGUGCUAAUCUGCGAAAAGCGUCGGUAAGGUGAUAUGAACCGUUACAGCCGGCGAUGUCCGAAUGGGGAAACCCAGUGCAAUUCGUUGCACUAUCGUUAACUGAAUACAUAGGUUAACGAGGCGAACCGGGGGAACUGAAACAUCUAAGUACCCCGAGGAAAAGAAAUCAACCGAGAUUCCCCCAGUAGCGGCGAGCGAACGGGGAGCAGCCCAGAGUCUGAAUCAGCUUGUGUGUUAGUGGAACGGUCUGGAAAGUCCGACGGUACAGGGUGAUAGUCCCGUACACCAAAAUGCACAGGCUGUGAACUCGAAGAGUAGGGCGGGACACGUGGUAUCCUGUCUGAAUAUGGGGGGACCAUCCUCCAAGGCUAAAUACUCCUGACUGACCGAUAGUGAACCAGUACCGUGAGGGAAAGGCGAAAAGAACCCCGGCGAGGGGAGUGAAAAAGAACCUGAAACCGUGUACGUACAAGCAGUGGGAGCACCUUCGGGUGUGACUGCGUACCUUUUGUAUAAUGGGUCAGCGACUUAUAUUCUGUAGCAAGGUUAACCGUAUAGGGGAGCCGCAGGGAAACCGAGUCUUAACUGGGCGUUAAGUUGCAGGGUAUAGACCCGAAACCCGGUGAUCUAGCCAUGGGCAGGUUGAAGGUUGGGUAACACUAACUGGAGGACCGAACCGACUAAUGUUGAAAAAUUAGCGGAUGACUUGUGGCUGGGGGUGAAAGGCCAAUCAAACCGGGAGAUAGCUGGUUCUCCCCGAAAGCUAUUUAGGUAGCGCCUCGUGAACUCAUCUUCGGGGGUAGAGCACUGUUUCGGCUAGGGGGUCAUCCCGACUUACCAACCCGAUGCAAACUACGAAUACCGAAGAAUGUUAUCACGGGAGACACACGGCGGGUGCUAACGUCCGUCGUGAAGAGGGAAACAACCCAGACCGCCAGCUAAGGUCCCAAAGUCAUGGUUAAGUGGGAAACGAUGUGGGAAGGCACAGACAGCCAGGAUGUUGGCUUAGAAGCAGCCAUCAUUUAAAGAAAGCGUAAUAGCUCACUGGUCGAGUCGGCCUGCGCGGAAGAUGUAACGGGGCUAAACCAUGCACCGAAGCUGCGGCAGCGACACUAUGUGUUGUUGGGUAGGGGAGCGUUCUGUAAGCCUGCGAAGGUGUGCUGUGAGGCAUGCUGGAGGUAUCAGAAGUGCGAAUGCUGACAUAAGUAACGAUAAAGCGGGUGAAAAGCCCGCUCGCCGGAAGACCAAGGGUUCCUGUCCAACGUUAAUCGGGGCAGGGUGAGUCGACCCCUAAGGCGAGGCCGAAAGGCGUAGUCGAUGGGAAACAGGUUAAUAUUCCUGUACUUGGUGUUACUGCGAAGGGGGGACGGAGAAGGCUAUGUUAGCCGGGCGACGGUUGUCCCGGUUUAAGCAUGUAGGCUGAUUGUCCAGGCAAAUCCGGAUAAUCAAGGCUGAGGUGUGAUGACGAGGCACUACGGUGCUGAAGUAACAAAUGCCCUGCUUCCAGGAAAAGCCUCUAAGCAUCAGGUAACAUUAAAUCGUACCCCAAACCGACACAGGUGGUCAGGUAGAGAAUACCAAGGCGCUUGAGAGAACUCGGGUGAAGGAACUAGGCAAAAUGGUGCCGUAACUUCGGGAGAAGGCACGCUGGUGUGUAGGUGAAGUCCCUGCGGAUGGAGCUGAGACCAGUCGAAGAUACCAGCUGGCUGCAACUGUUUAUUAAAAACACAGCACUGUGCAAACACGAAAGUGGACGUAUACGGUGUGACGCCUGCCCGGUGCCGGAAGGUUAAUUGAUGGGGUUAUCCGUAAGGAGAAGCUCUUGAUCGAAGCCCCGGUAAACGGCGGCCGUAACUAUAACGGUCCUAAGGUAGCGAAAUUCCUUGUCGGGUAAGUUCCGACCUGCACGAAUGGCGUAAUGAUGGCCAGGCUGUCUCCACCCGAGACUCAGUGAAAUUGAACUCGCUGUGAAGAUGCAGUGUACCCGCGGCAAGACGGAAAGACCCCGUGAACCUUUACUAUAGCUUGACACUGAACAUUGAGCCUUGAUGUGUAGGAUAGGUGGGAGGCUUUGAAGCGUGGACGCCAGUCUGCGUGGAGCCGACCUUGAAAUACCACCCUUUAAUGUUUGAUGUUCUAACGUUGGCCCCUUAUCGGGGUUGCGGACAGUGUCUGGUGGGUAGUUUGACUGGGGCGGUCUCCUCCCAAAGCGUAACGGAGGAGCACGAAGGUUAGCUAAUCCUGGUCGGACAUCAGGAGGUUAGUGCAAUGGCAUAAGCUAGCUUGACUGCGAGCGUGACGGCGCGAGCAGGUGCGAAAGCAGGUCAUAGUGAUCCGGUGGUUCUGAAUGGAAGGGCCAUCGCUCAACGGAUAAAAGGUACUCCGGGGAUAACAGGCUGAUACCGCCCAAGAGUUCAUAUCGACGGCGGUGUUUGGCACCUCGAUGUCGGCUCAUCACAUCCUGGGGCUGAAGUAGGUCCCAAGGGUAUGGCUGUUCGCCAUUUAAAGUGGUACGCGAGCUGGGUUUAGAACGUCGUGAGACAGUUCGGUCCCUAUCUGCCGUGGGCGCUGGAGAAUUGAGGGGGGCUGCUCCUAGUACGAGAGGACCGGAGUGGACGCAUCACUGGUGUUCGGGUUGUCAUGCCAAUGGCACUGCCCGGUAGCUAAAUGCGGAAGAGAUAAGUGCUGAAAGCAUCUAAGCACGAAACUUGCCCCGAGAUGAGUUCU
rnacentral:rRNA from 1 species